GCAUUGAUUGGUUUAUGCACGUAUCUAGUCCACAUUAUAAUACCAACACAUCAAUUGUUGGAUCGUUGGCGCUAAUCAUUAAUUUCAAAAAUUCGAGCCGUUAGAAAUAUGCAACCCAUUCACUUAAGACGUAUAGAUACAAUACUUAUGGAUCUCGAUUGUGACCCGGCCUAAUCGGCCUCGUGUCACUUAGAAUAUGACUCAGUCUAAUCCAACCUCACGCUAUUUCGAAUAUGAUUCGGCUCAAUCCAGCCUCUUGCCGUAGGGCAGAAUGCUAGCAUAUUUAAGCCAACAUCAGAAACCUGCAAAAACCAUUUAUUAUAGUAGAUCCAAA
rnacentral:lncRNA from 1 species